AUGAAUGAACAACUCUGUGCUCCGGUGACAGAUAUGGAAAUUGAACAAGCAUUAUUUAGUAUGCAUCCCAACAAAUCACCGGGUCCGGAUGGGCUUACUGUAGGUUUUUAUAUAUGUCAUUGGAAUGUGCUGAAGGGUGGCGUUUGUAGAGCAGUUCGUGAUUUUCUAGAGGGAGGGAUGAUGCCUAAUGAGGUGAACAGUACCGUGCUGGUUUUGAUACCCAAAGUCAAAACACCACAAGAGCUAGGACAGUACAGGCCAAUAUCAUUAUGUAAUGUGCUUUACAAGAUUGCAUCGAAAGUUCUGGCUUUACGUCUCCGGCCAAUUUUGGAUGAAAUCAUUGCUGAGGAACAAAGCGCUUUUGUACCUGGACGAUUGAUUACAGAUAAUGUGUUGAUUGCUUAUGAGUCUAUACAUUAUUUAAAGAAGAAGAAAGGUAAAGGCGGUGCUUGUGCUGUCAAGUUAGACAUGGCAAAAGCAUAUGACAGGAUUGAAUGGUUAUACUUGAGAGAGGUUAUGCGUAAAUUGGGCUUCGCAGAACAGUGGAUUGGAAGAAUAAUGGCUUGCGUUGAAACUGUAAAAUUUUCAGUUAGGGUGAAUGGACAUCUUUCGGAAUUCUUUACACCUACCCGAGGUAUUAGACAAGGUGAUCCUUUGUCACCUUAUCUCUUCUUGUUGUGUGCAGAAGGUCUCAGCAGCCUUCUAAAAUUCAAAGGGCCGUCUAAUCUUGCAAAAGGGAUAAGGGUGGGUAUCCAUGCACCUUGGAUAUCACAUUUACUGUUCGCAGACGACUGCAUGAUUUUCUCGCAGGCUACAACACAGGGUGCUCAGCGGUUACAGGAGAUUUUGGAACUUUAUAGAGUAGGCUCCGGCCAGCUGGUGAAUAGAAGUAAGUCUGCCAUUUUCUUUAGUGGCAACUGUUCGGUAGAAGGGAAAUUGGCUUUCCAGGAAGGAGUGGCAAUUCAAACUGAAGCUUUGGCAGAAAAGUACCUAGACUUACCCACAGCCCUAGGUAGAUCUAUAGAGGAGAAUUUUGAGCAUAUUGCAAACAGUAUAAAGAAACCGGUUAAUGGUUGGGCGCCGAAACUAAUGAAUAGUGCGGCUAGAGAGGUCUUAAUAAAGUCAAUCUGCCAAGCUAUUCCGACAUACUCCAUGAGUUGUUUCAAAUUGUCAAAGAAAACAUGUAAAAAAAUUAUGAGCAUUGUGGCUACAUACUGGUGGGGAGGAGAUGAGAAUAAGAGGAAGAUGCAC
rnacentral:rRNA from 1 species